rnacentral:miRNA from 1 species
UGUGCAAACCUAUGCAAAGCUGA